UACGUAGGGUGCGAGCGUUGUCCGGAAUCACUGGGCUUAAAGCGUGUGUAGGCGGAGCAUUAAGUACCUUGUGAAAUCCCACGGCUUAACCGUGGAACUGCUGGGUAUACUGGUGUUCUUGAGCCACUUAGGGGCGAGCGGAACAAAUGGUGGAGCGGUGAAAUGCGUAGAUAUCAUUUGGAACGCCAAUGGUGAAAACAGCUCGCUGGGAGUGUGCUGACGCUGAGACACGAAAGCCAGGGUAGCGAACGGG
rnacentral:rRNA from 1 species